GACGUAGGGCGCGAGCGUUGUCCGGAUUUAUUGGGCGUAAAGAGCUCGUAGGUGGCUUGUCGCGUCGUUCGUGAAAACCCGGGGCUCAACUCCGGGCUUGCGGGCGAUACGGGCAGGCUAGAGUUCGGUAGGGGAGACUGGAAUUCCUGGUGUAGCGGUGAAAUGCGCAGAUAUCAGGAGGAACACCGGUGGCGAAGGCGGGUCUCUGGUACGUGACUGACGCUGAGACGCGAAAGCGUGGGGAGCGAACAGG
rnacentral:rRNA from 1 species